UUAACUAUUAUAUAGUACUCAGACGACACUAACAUUCAGAGUUUGAAGGCCUCUGGCGGGCACGCGCCGCCUAUUAGACGCCGGCGGCCGGGGACCCGGCGGCCCGCCAAAGAAACGACAGUAACGAUAACAGUGGGUGGGAGAUCUACCCGGAAGGGCGAGAACUCUGUAAUGAUCCCUCCGCAGGUUCACCUACGGAGA
rnacentral:misc_RNA from 1 species